rnacentral:rRNA from 1 species
AUUGAACGCUGGCGGCAGGCCUAACACAUGCAAGUCGAGCGGAUGAAGGGUGCUUGCUCCUGGAUUCAGCGGCGGACGGGUGAGUAAUGCCUAGGAAUCUGCCUGGUUGUGGGGGAUAACGUCCGGAAACGGGCGCUAAUACCGCAUACGUCCUGAGGGAGAAAGUGGGGGAUCUUCGGACCUCACGCUAUCAGAUGAGCCUAGGUCGGAUUAGCUAGUUGGUGGGGUAAAGGCCUACCAAGGCGACGAUCCGUAACUGGUCUGAGAGGAUGAUCAGUCACACUGGAACUGAGACACGGUCCAGACUCCUACGGGAGGCAGCAGUGGGGAAUAUUGGACAAUGGGCGAAAGCCUGAUCCAGCCAUGCCGCGUGUGUGAAGAAGGUCUUCGGAUUGUAAAGCACUUUAAGUUGGGAGGAAGGGCAGUAAGUUAAUACCUUGCUGUUUUGACGGUACCAACAGAAUAAGCACCGGCUAACUUCGUG